rnacentral:rRNA from 1 species
CAGUCGCCACGGUAAUACGAAGGGUGCAAGCGUUACUCGGAAUUACUGGGCGUAAAGCGUGCGUAGGUGGUGGUUUAAGUCCGUUGUGAAAGCCCUGGGCUCAACCUGGGAAUUGCAGUGGAUACUGGGUCACUAGAGUGUGGUAGAGGAUAGUGGAAUUUCCGGUGUAGCAGUGAAAUGCGUAGAGAUCGGAAGGAACAUCUGUGGCGAAGGCGACUAUCUGGGCCAACACUGACGCUCAUGCACGAAAGCGUGGGGAGCAAACAGGAUUAGAUACCCCUGUAGUCCCUGUCUCUUAUAC